GACGAACGCUGGCGGCGUGCUUAACACAUGCAAGUCGAACGGAAAGGCCCUGCUUUUGUGGGGUGCUCGAGUGGCGAACGGGUGAGUAACACGUGAGUAACCUGCCCUUGACUUUGGGAUAACUUCAGGAAACUGGGGCUAAUACCGGAUAGGAGCUCCUGCUGCAUGGUGGGGGUUGGCAAGUUUCGGCGGUUGGGGAUGGACUCGCGGCUUAUUAGCUUGUUGGUGGGGUAGUGGCUUACCAAGGCUUUGACGGGUAGCCGGCCUGAGAGGGUGAACGGCCACAUUGGGACUGAGAUACGGCCCAGACUCCUACGGGAGGCAGCAGUGGGGAAUAUUGCACAAUGGGCGGAAGCCUGAUGCAGCAACGCCGCGUGCGGGAUGACGGCCUUCGGGUUGUAAACCGCUUUCGCCUGUGACGAAGCGUGAGUGACGGUAAUGGGUAAAGAAGCACCGGCUAACUACGUGCCAGCAGCCGCCGUAACAC
rnacentral:rRNA from 1 species